rnacentral:lncRNA from 1 species
GGGAGGGUAAAAAUGCAGAAUGGAUUUCGAAAGAAUACCAAUAGAACAGUUGUACAGAUAGAAAAUAUCACAGAAGGCAAUGAACGAACUCUUGAAGAAACUUCGGUAAAACGAAAUAUAGCUCACCACCAAGUUUAAAAUCGCAAUGGGAUACAGAAAGUUCACCACCCAACGGAAAUUAAACGAGGAUACAGAACUA